rnacentral:rRNA from 1 species
AUGAGUGAGCCAACAGGCCUUGCUGAGGCUUUCGAGAAGCUAGCUAAGAUCCUUGAGGAGUCGAAAUCUGGGGCCAUCGUUCCUCGACAGGAAGUGGCUCAGAAGAUCGAACUGUCGCCCAUGGACAUGAAGUUAGAGGGGGCUACCAAUUAUCUGAGCUGGUCCCGAAGGGCGUUGCUGGCUGUGGAACAGAAGGAGCUUGAUGGGCACUUGUUGGGUGCUGUUGCUGAACCAGGAGACAAGACUACUGUGGAGGGAAAGAGAUGGAAGGUCAUAAACUCUGUGCUCAUUGGCUGGUUGUUGAACUCGGUGGUGCCCCCCAUUGGACGCUCUGUGGAGGGGCUAUCCACAUCCGCUGCGAUAUGGACGACUCUGUCCACCUUGUACUCAGGUAAGGGCAAUGUCAUGCUCAUUGCUCAGAUUGAGGGGAAGAUCAGUCGGCUGCAUCAAGGUGAUGACAUGUCAGUGAUGACAUAUGUGGCAGAGCUGCAGGCUUUGUGGGCAGAGCAGGAUAACUGUGACCCUCUGGAACUCUAUGAUGCGGCUUGCAUCGAGUCAGGGCGCAAGUGGAUUGCACGCAGGCGUGUGCUGAAACUGUUGGAGGGGCUUAGAGGUUGCUUUCAUGGCAGGAGGGCAUCCCUGUUGCACCAACCUCUCCUGCCCUCUAUUGAGGAGACUAUUGCUGCAAUGUCUCAAGAGGAGGUGUGGCUAUCUCUUGAGCAUGCAGACAUGAAGGUUGUGCCGGCUUCGACAUUUGCAGUCACUGAGCGCAUGGAGUGGAGCGAUCCCAACAAAUGUCAUAUCUGUGGGGAGGUAGGUCACUGGAAGUGGGCGUGUCCAACUCGUGGCAGAGGCAGGGGAUACGACAGAGGGGGAACUGGCAGAGGCAGGCGUGGUAGAGGCAGAGGUGGAUACUCAGGGACCUCAAGGGGCCAGGCUUCUAUGGGUAGAGGUGGCUACUCAGGACACUUAGGGGAUCAGAGGGCUCACAUGACAGUGGCAGGAGACAUUGGGACGUCACAAGGCAAAGAUGCAGCUGAUGCUGACUAUGGAGACUUUGCUCUCUGGGCCUCCACUGAUGAAGGAGCGCCAGACGAGCCAGACGGUUGGGACUGGCACCAGGCGUAG